rnacentral:misc_RNA from 1 species
AACGCACAUUGCGCCCCCCGGUAUUCCGAGGGGCAUGCCUGUUCGAGCGUCAUUACACCCCUCAAGCUUUGCUUGGUGUUGAGCUUCCGCCCCCCGGGGCGUGCUCGAAAGAUAGUGGCGGUGCAGCCUGGCUUCAAGCGUAGUAACUAAAAACAACCCGCUUUGGAAGUCCAGCCUGGGCCCGCCAGACAACCCCUAUACAUUUUCAAUGGUUGACCUCGGAUCAGGUAGGGAUACCCGCUGAACUUAA